rnacentral:rRNA from 1 species
CACGUAGGGCGCAAGCGUUGUCCGGAAUUAUUGGGCGUAAAGAGCUUGUAGGCGGUUUGUCGCGUCUGCUGUGAAAAUCCGGGGCUCAACCCCGGACUUGCAGUGGGUACGGGCAGACUAGAGUGUGGUAGGGGAGACUGGAAUUCCUGGUGUAGCGGUGGAAUGCGCAGAUAUCAGGAGGAACACCGAUGGCGAAGGCAGGUCUCUGGGCCGAUACUGACGCUGAGGAGCGAAAGCGUGGGGAGCGAACAGG